GUGGGGAAUAUUGCACAAUGGGGGAAACCCUGAUGCAGCGACGCCGCGUGAGCGAAGAAGUAUUUCGGUAUGUAAAGCUCUAUCAGCAGGGAAGAAGAAUGACGGUACCUGACUAAGAAGCACCGGCUAAAUACGUGCCAGCAGCCGCGGUAAUACGUAUGGUGCAAGCGUUAUCCGGAUUUACUGGGUGUAAAGGGAGCGCAGGCGGUGCGGCAAGUCGGAUGUGAAAGCCCGGGGCUCAACCCCGGUACUGCAUUGGAAACUGUCGUACUAGAGUGUCGGAGGGGUAAGUGGAAUUCCUAGUGUAGCGGUGAAAUGCGUAGAUAUUAGGAGGAACACCAGUGGCGAAGGCGGCUUGCUGGGCUUUAACUGACGCUGAGGCUCGAAAGUGUGGGGAGCAAACAGGAUUAGAAACCCCAGUAGUCC
rnacentral:rRNA from 1 species